rnacentral:rRNA from 1 species
AACGCUGGGCGGCGUGCCUAAUACAUGCAAGUCGUACGCUUCUUUUUCCACCGGAGCUUGCUCCACCGGAAAAAGAAGAGUGGCGAACGGGUGAGUAACACGUGGGUAACCUGCCCAUCAGAAGGGGAUAACACUUGGAAACAGGUGCUAAUACCGUAUAACAAUCGAAACCGCAUGGUUUUGAUUUGAAAGGCGCUUUCGGGUGUCGCUGAUGGAUGGACCCGCGGUGCAUUAGCUAGUUGGUGAGGUAACGGCUCACCAAGGCCACGAUGCAUAGCCGACCUGAGAGGGUGAUCGGCCACAUUGGGACUGAGACACGGCCCAAACUCCUACGGGAGGCAGCAGUAGGGAAUCUUCGGCAAUGGACGAAAGUCUGACCGAGCAACGCCGCGUGAGUGAAGAAGGUUUUCGGAUCGUAAAACUCUGUUGUUAGAGAAGAACAAGGAUGAGAGUAACUGUUCAUCCCUUGACGGUAUCUAACCAGAAAGCCACGGCUAACUACGUGCCAGCAGCCGCGGUAAUACGUAGGUGGCAAGCGUUGUCCGGAUUUAUUGGGCGUAAAGCGAGCGCAGGCGGUUUCUUAAGUCUGAUGUGAAAGCCCCCGGCUCAACCGGGGAGGGUCAUUGGAAACUGGGAGACUUGAGUGCAGAAGAGGAGAGUGGAAUUCCAUGUGUAGCGGUGAAAUGCGUAGAUAUAUGGAGGAACACCAGUGGCGAAGGCGGCUCUCUGGUCUGUAACUGACGCUGAGGCUCGAAAGCGUGGGGAGCAAACAGGAUUAGAUACCCUGGUAGUCCACGCCGUAAACGAUGAGUGCUAAGUGUUGGAGGGUUUCCGCCCUUCAGUGCUGCAGCUAACGCAUUAAGCACUCCGCCUGGGGAGUACGACCGCAAGGUUGAAACUCAAAGGAAUUGACGGGGGCCCGCACAAGCGGUGGAGCAUGUGGUUUAAUUCGAAGCAACGCGAAGAACCUUACCAGGUCUUGACAUCCUUUGA